rnacentral:rRNA from 1 species
GACGAACGCUGGCGGCGUGCCUAAUACAUGCAAGUCGAACGCAGUGGGGACGGGUGAGUAACACGUGGCUAACCUCCCAUCAGACGAGAUAACCCUUGGCAACAGGUGCUAAACCGCUACUGAUGGAUGGACCCGCGGUGCAUUAGCUAGUUGGUUAGGGAACUGCUCACCAAGGCCACGAUGCAUAGCCGACCUGCGAGGGUGAUCGGCCACACUGGGACUGAGACACGGCCCAUACGCCUACGGGAGGCAGCAGUAGGGAAUCUUCGGCAAUGGACGAAAGUCUGACGGAGCAACGCCGCGUGAGUGAAGAAGGUUUUCGGAUCGUAAAACUCUGUUGUUAGAGAAGCGGUAUCUAACCAGAAAGCCACGGCUAACUACGUGCCAGCAGCCGCGGUAAUAC